rnacentral:rRNA from 1 species
GACGAACGCUGGCGGCGUGCUUAACACAUGCAAGUCGAACGGAAAGGCCCUGCUUUUGUGGGAUGCUCAAGUGGCGAAAGGGUGAGUAACACGUGAGUAACCUGCCCUUGACUGUGGGAUAACUUCAGGAAACUGGGGCUAAUACCGGAUAGGAGCUCCUGCUGCAUGGUGGGGGUUGGAAAGUUUCGGCGGUUGGGGAUGGACGCGCGGCUUAUCAGCUUGUUGGUGGGGUAGUGGCUUACCAAGGCUUUGACGGGUAGCCGGCCUGAGAGGGUGACCGGCCACAUUGGGACUGAGAUACGGCCCAGACUCCUACGGGAGGCAGCAGUGGGGAAUAUUGCACAAUGGGCGGAAGCCUGAUGCAGCAACGCCGCGUGCGGGAUGACGGCCUUCGGGUUGUAAACCGCUUUCGCCUGUGACGAAGCGUGAGUGACGGUAAUGAGUAAAGAAGCACCGGCUAACUACGUG